UGUACAAUUUUUCUUGGCACCAGUUAGAGUAAACAAUAUUUUUUGCACUUACCUGAAGGAUCAGAUUUGGCCAGAUGGCUUCCUGAAUGAUCUUCUCCUUGUUUGGUGUCCGCCUGAAACAGAAAAGUAAACACACGCAAAGGAAUUGCCAUACCAGAGAAGACCAGAAGUCCAUCUAGUACAGUACCCUGCCUUCAACGGUGGCCAGCAUCAGAUGCCUUAGAGAAAGAUACCACCCACAUCAGAUGUCUAACCUGAAUGAACAGACAGUGUACUGUCUGAACCACUGAAGUGGAGUCUUCUUUACUGUGACUAUUCUUUUGAUGGCAUUCUUCAUCCUACACCACAGAAACAAACAAACAAACAAAACAAACAGUUAAGCUAAUACAGAAUGGUCCAAUUCCUUCAUCAUCAAAUCAUUUUCGGAUGGCCAGAAUACAUUCUUGUAUUGUGACUUUCUAUGGCUGAAUUUUGAGCAUAGUAAGACAGGAAGAAGUGUCGUACCUUAUCUAUCCAUUAACACUGCUUCAUUUUCAAAAUAUUAAUGAAUAUUUUUAUCAUUACCAAGUAAUAGAGAAAGGGUACACAGUGGAAUAUCUGUAUUUAAUCUGAACCUCAAACUACCUUAUCUUGGAAAAAAAUUAUUUGUGGAAAAUAAG